UUGACGGCCAGUAUAAUAAUCACAAAAAAUAUUGUUUUGUUUUUGUUUUGUUUAGGAAUUAAUUGGAAAAAACAAAGAAAUUAAUAGGUAGAUACUGGAUAGUGCAAAAAUGACCAACUGCGUACUGCGUUAUUGCAGUAAUAAUAAUAUAAAAAACAACAAAUCUUCAGACGGCGUAACUUUUCAUAAACUCCCUCACCCUGGAAACAGUAAACGAGACGAAUGGAUACAAUUUAUCCAAAAAAAUAGAAGUGAAAAAGAUUGGUUACCAUCUAAACAUACAUCAAUUUGUUCCAAACACUUCCGGGAAGAAGAUUAUUAUUUCACCAAAACUGGACGAAAAUAUCUUAAAAAAAAUGCUGUGCCAUAUGAAAAUCCUGAACGCAACCAGUCCUAUGAAAACCCUGAACGCAACCAGUCCUAUGAAAACCCUGAACACAACCAGCCCCCACUACCUCCUACAAAACCUGUAUAUGUUUCAGAUACAGAGCAUGGAAUCUCCGCGCGCCGAGUGGGCAGCCGGCUAAUUCCGUGCUCUGUGGUUUCAGAUUUAGAAUGUGCAAAGGAGAUACCAGGAAACAUUAAAUUAAAAAAAGAAUUAUUCAAAGUUACAGCCGAUAAAAACGAAUUAAUUAAAAAAAAUAUAAAAUUAAGACAACUAUGUAGACAUCUUAAAUCAAGAAACCUGAAAUUACAGGAAAUAAUAAGGAGUCUACAAUCAAAUUACCCUCUAGAACGUUUUGUUGAAAUUAAUGAAGAAGAGAUGGAUAUAGAUGAAAUUGAUUGAAGACGAAAUUAAUGAAAAAUGAAUGAAUAAAAUGAAAUUUUAUAGCAAGCUCCAGUUGUGGAUUAAUAACUAAGUAAUAGUUAAUACCACAAUGAUUAAAGUUGUUCUAAGACUAAGUAAAGAUGAUACUUAAAGAUAUUUAUUAGAAAGAAAUAACCUGUUUAAAUGUAGCCUGUGAAUUUGCAAGAAAUACUAUACAGUUAGAAGAGUGUGGGUACUAA